rnacentral:pre_miRNA from 1 species
UAUAAUAUUUUGACUCUUCGUCUUAUUUGAAAUUUUUUGCGAUUAAUAUUUUUUUCUUACUAGAUGAUAAAAUAUGAAUAAUACUUUAGGUAUGACUAAUUUUUUAAAAUUUUUGUACAAAUUUUUUAAAUAAGACGAAUGGUCAAAACAUUGGACACAAAAAUCGA